rnacentral:rRNA from 1 species
UACGUAGGGUGCGAGCGUUGUCCGGAAUUACUGGGCGUAAAGAGCUCGUAGGUGGUUUUUGUCGCGUUGUUCGUGAAAACUCACAGCUCAACUGUGGGCGUGCGGGCGAUACGGGCAGACUAGAGUACUGCAGGGGAGACUGGAAUUCCUGGUGUAGCGGUGAAAUGCGCAGAUAUCAGGAGGAACACCGAUGGCGAAGGCAGGUCUCUGGGCAUAACUGACGCUGAGGAGCGAAAGCAUGGGGAGCGAACAGG